UACGUAGGUGGCAAGCGUUGUCCGGAUUUAUUGGGUUUAAAGGGUGCGUAGGCGGUUCCUUAAGUCAGUGGUGAAAUACUUCAGCUCAACUGGAGAGGUGCCAUUGAUACUGGGGAACUUGAGUACAGACGAGGUAGGCGGAAUUGACGGUGUAGCGGUGAAAUGCUUAGAUAUCGUCAAGAACACCGAUAGCGAAGGCAGCUUACUAGACUGUAACUGACGCUGAUGCACGAAAGUGUGGGGAUCAAACAGG
rnacentral:rRNA from 1 species